AGCGGAGGAAAAGAAACCAACGCGUAUUGCCCCAGUAACGGCGAGUGAAGCGGCAACAGCUCAAAUUUGAAAUCUGGCCCCUAGGGCCCGAGUUGUAAUUUGCAGAGGAUGCUUUUGGCGAGGUGCCUUCCGAGUUCCCUGGAACGGGACGCCAUAGAGGGUGAGAGCCCCGUCUGGUUGGAUGCCGAGCCUCUGUAAAGCUCCUUCGACGAGUCGAGUAGUUUGGGAAUGCUGCUCUAAAUGGGAGGUAUAUGUCUUCUAAAGCUAAAUACCGGCCAGAGACCGAUAGCGCACAAGUAGAGUGAUCGAAAGAUGAAAAGCACUUUGAAAAGAGGGUUAAAUAGUACGUGAAAUUGUUGAAAGGGAAGCACUUAUGACCAGACUUGGACCCGGUGAAUCAUCCAGCGUUCUCGCUGGUGCACUUUGCCGGGCUCAGGCCAGCAUCAGUUUGCCUCGGGGGAUAAAGGCUUUGGGAAUGUGGCUCCCUCGGGAGUGUUAUAGCCCAUUGCACAAUACCCUGGGGCGGACUGAGGUUCGCGCAUCUGCAAGGAUGCUGGCGUAAUGGUCAUCAGUGACCCGUCUAACCAGGAA
rnacentral:rRNA from 1 species